AGAAGCGUCGCGCGCGCGUACGCGGGAACUUUGAAUAGCAGUGCAGUAGUGGCACAGGACAAAAGGAUCGGGACAGUGCGGCCGCGGUAUACCCUGGAAAAACAUGAUGUUUCUAAAUAUUAUUUCCAUGUAACUACUACACUACCUGCUGUACGGUGUAUUGUGUCCUGUCUGACACCCAGCACAUCAUAUGGGAAGAUGCGAUGAAUGUGUGUAAACCAGAGAUUGUUCACACACUACACAAUGGGGGUGCAGUUACAAUCCCGACAAGAUACCGGCUGCAAAAUCCUGAAAGGUGACGGGACACUGAUGCUGUAAUUUCAACUGUUGGGAUCUCUAUCAUUUACACAUUGAGCACUACAGAGAGUGGUACCUCUAUGAACAGUCUGCAUUAUGCUAGUGAGUGCUACGUCUACUACUCCCCUGAUACUCACAAAAGUUUAGAUGAUGUUUAAAGCUGUCCAUGUUAGGCAGUGGUUAUGUUUGUUAUUUAACGUAAGUAGGAUUUAUUGCUGAUCUGUUCAGCACUUUUCAGUAUAAGUGAAAUGCCUUAAACAUAUAAAA